UUAAGAUAGAGGGCAUCUGCAAAUUAAAGUAUGUACAGUGACUUGCUUCAGUGAUUCAGGAACUGUGUUUCCAUUUUCUAUCAUGUUAUUUAACGACGUUUGCUAGGUGAGAUACCAACGAUGAAAGUACGAGCCCAAUUGUUUGAUGUUAUCCACCGUGCAGGUGUUAUUAGCAUGCUGGGAUUGACUGCUUUUGGUGCAGUUUUGCUAACUGCUAGAACGUACAGGUAUUUCACGCACGUGCGACCCAUGCAGCAAGAACAUAAGAGGCUACUUGCAGAAGAAAUGAUUACUAAAGAACAAAUUGAAAAAGAAGUGGAGUUGCUUAGAAGACAGCGGGAAGCAGAAAAACUUGUUUCUUAAGUAUUUUUAGUAGUUUUUGAAAUGGUUUUCAGCAUCAGGCAUUUGUGCACAUGGAUUUCAGUGAUCAUCUCUGGAAAUAUGCAGUUGCUUCUUAAGAUGGGACAUCUUGUUAGUUUUAUAUGAAAUAUUGUGAAGUGUGAAAACAUUCUGAGACUGAAAUGAUUGGGAAAUGGAAGUUUCUAUGAUGUUGCCAAUAUUGGAGGAGGGGAAGGUUAUUAAAUUUGCAAAUGUUCUUGGAGGGAAAAAAAUCAUUUGUUUUGUACAGCAAGCUAUCAUUGAUUGUUGGGAUAAUUGCGUCGGUCAUAUUAGUAUCAGAAGAACUCUGUGUAUCAUACCACUUAGAACAUACACAUCCCUUAAGUUUGUGUGUGUGUGUGAUUUGAUGUUUUUUGUGCAUGUUUGUUAUGGACUUAUGCAUAGCAGAAAUAAAGUGCCCAGAGUACAGCAUUUUUGUUUAUCAUAAACAUAGCAUAUAGAUAACUUUAAUCAGGUGAAUAUUUUAGUUAGCUUGAUGAAGGACCCUUUUAAUUGGUGUUUCCAUGUCUCCUCAACCUCAAAUAUCAGCACGUGAAGGAAACAAACUGUCUCAUUUAUACCAGAUUAUCAAGUUGCUCUUGUAGUUCUUGUCUUAAGGUGGCACCACACGGGGUUUGGCAAACACUGUUUUCUUAUGAAACAGCCUUGUUUUCCCCGUUUGCCGUCUGGCAUACAGCGCAAAGCGUUUGAUGAACUGGAAGGAAACCUGGUUUUCCUUGUGUUUGCACAUUUAGAACUUGCUCUAUUUUGGAGGGCGGUUUUUCAACAAGGCUGCCAAAGCCACAGCCCGCUUGGAAAUUUAAAUGAGGAAAAUACCUGCUAUUUAAUUGAGCUUUUUCAAAGCCACCAGGAAUUGUGGGAACCUUGGAGAGCACAAUAUCGCAACAGACAAUAAUAUUGAAAAUGGGUCUUUGGCUUUCUUUACAGAUUUCGUUCUCAUCAACGACAGGGACUGAGUGCACAGGUAUUAAUUUUAAAUGAUGAUUGCUUUAUCGUAUCAUUAAAAUCCAUGAAUGAAGUUAUUCCUAUAUUUUAUUUAGAAUUUUUUUAGAAUUAAGUACAUAUUAGUUCUGAUACAGCCUGCAUGAGCACAAUGUGACUAUUAUUGUUUUGGCUGCUGUUAUUCUAAAAUUACAGUCUGCUGAACAUGAACAGAUUUUGACAGCACUGGAAAACUGCUAAAUUUAUCUGAUCGUUUUCAUAACAAUUUAAAGGUACAUCAUAAAGCAUAACAUUUAAAACAUCAAAUGCAGAGCCAUGUAUACAAAAUCAUCACAAAUAAACAAUGUUAAUUUGGGCAGCUAGUUAUUUAUUUCAUAAGAUUCUACUACUAUGUUGCAGUUGCCCAUAUCCAAGCAAAGGUAGCCAGCCUCCGAAACACAUUUUCAAGGGAAAUGCAUAAAAUAAAUAAAACUAUAGUAAGUGGGGCUGGAGCAUGUGAUGCCUACAACAGUUCAUGGCCUUUUUUCAGCAGUUGAAAUUCCUGUUGCCAGUAAUGUCUCUAGUGGCACCAACAUCUUAAAACUUGGAAACACAAGUGGUGAAUCACCAACAGCAAGGCGAACACGAUUAUUUCUACUAGUGCCAGACAGAAAAGGAAUUCACUGAAACUCAGUCUGAAGGGGCUAAAGAGGAUGAUCCAGCACUUUCACUCACUUCACGCCCUUGCGGGUGAAGAAGUGACUACUCAGAUGUAGGCAAAAGGCAAGAAAAAAGAGCAUGAAAAGAUCAGGGGGAUGAUCUGACUAAGUAUGCCAAUAGAUCAUUAUAUAAAUAAAAAUAGACCAAAAGUGGACCCUGAACUCAUGUGAGCAAAAAUUCUUACUAAAAAAAAUUUCAGAAUUACCAGAUAUUACACAAAGGAAGCUUAUAAAACUAGAUAUUGACUAGGACCUCUACGCUUAAAGGAAUUCAUGGGGUUUUUUCCUGGGUGCCUAUGCGUCAAUGACCUUGACUGAAAUAAAAACAUUUGCAUUUUA